AAAAAUAUAAAAAAGUACUUUUUUAGGAUGUAAUGCGCAGGCGCAGAAUCACAUAACAUAUUUUGAUACCAAAAUGUGACAAUGUAAUACACAAAACUUCUUGUAUUAAUAUUGUACACAAUCAUUUCAUAUUAGAAAUUUUUCAAGAUGAGAAACAUCGAGAUAAGAUGUAGACUGAAGAUUAUUAGGGAUAUUGUGAAAGAAAUUACAAAAGAAUUAAUGGUGAUAACAGGUGCUAUGAUGAUAACAGGUGCACACAAAAAAAUCUAAAAUGGAGACCCAGGAGAACAACAAAAUGAAGAAGUAUGGGAAGACUUAAAAUAGAUGGGUAGAUAAAAUAAGAGCACUGGCAGGCAGCUGGAUUUGGGACAGGAUAGAGAAAGCUGGGAGAGACCUUCAUUCAGUAGGGGAUGGAAAAUGGAUGAUGAAGAAAACACUUUCUUUAAAUAUAAUGUUUUUGUAUUUAGAUGUUUAACAACUUCAAUAUUUUCAGCUGUACAUUUAGGUGGUUGUCUAUUUCCAGUUUUUCAACAAAUUCUUUUAAUAGUUCUGAAUUACUCAAUAAAAUAUUCACACUAAUCAGCCCUCCCUAA
rnacentral:lncRNA from 1 species